rnacentral:lncRNA from 1 species
CCCCGCCCCGCAGGGCCCCCAGGCCGGGCGCUGGGGGCGCACAGGUGAGUACAAAUGCGGACGCUGCUGAGAACAGCGAAAGCCUUUUUCAAAAGUGAUAUUGAUUUACGUUAUGGGGUUGUGACUCGAGCCAAGAGGAGAGAGACGCACAAACGCUCUUUAGGCAUACAGAUUCUCUCUCCUCACCACGCGGCUGCUGCUGGAGGAUGGAGGAGGGGUGGUGUCAGCAAUUCAAGACUGUCUUUCCUACCCUCUUCAGUGCCCUUCCUUGAUAAGCUGUUUAAACCAGAACCGACUGUUUCUGGAAAAGGUAAACAUCUAUUCUCCAAAGGGCAGUGACUUUCUACCUGUGAAAAUAAAAAGUAAACUUCAGAAGAAAAUUCUGAAAGAGGAAUUUAGAGAUGUUCCAAAUAAAGGCAAUAUAGUUUCACUGGAACUGAAAUGUUGCCUUCCAAUUCUACUACAGAAGGCAGAGUGGCACAUGUGGCACCUGGUCAGGAUGGACUCACUAAAGGAUUUAACCCAGACUUCUGAUCAACAAAUAUUGCUGCUACAUUAACUGAUUCGCAACAAAGAAAGAAAAUAUCAUCCAGUUGAUUUUAUUAUUUAAAUAUGGGCUCAAAUCUUAAAUCUGACAAACUAAUAAAUAAAUAUGUCUGAAAAGUAAAUAGUAAAUGGUGAACUGGUAUGGCUGAGGCAUUUGUACUGAACCCAUGCUGCUUCCUGGAGAUCACUGCAUUCUUUUCUGUGCUCAGUAAUCUACUUAA